GAUCCUGGCUCAGGAUGAACGCUAGCGACAGGCUUAACACAUGCAAGUCGGAGGGCAGCAAUAAAAGUAGCAAUACUUGGUGGCGACCGGCGCACGGGUGAGUAACGCGUAUGCAACCUACCUAUCAGAGGGGAAUAACCCGGCGAAAGUCGGACUAAUACCGCAUAAAACAGGGGCACCGCAUGGUGAUAUUUGUUAAAGAAAUUCGCUGAUAGAUGGGCAUGCGUUCCAUUAGGUAGUUGGUGAGGUAACGGCUCACCAAGCCGACGAUGGAUAGGGGAACUGAGAGGUUGGUCCCCCACACUGGUACUGAGACACGGACCAGACUCCUACGGGAGGCAGCAGUGAGGAAUAUUGGUCAAUGGGCGGGAGCCUGAACCAGCCAAGUCGCGUGAAGGAAAAGAAGGAUCUAUGGUUCGUAAACUUCUUUUGCAGGGGAAUAAAGUGCAGGACGUGUCCUGUUUUGUAUGUACCCUGAGAAUAAGGAUCGGCUAACUCCGUGCCAGCAGCUGC
rnacentral:rRNA from 1 species